AUGAUGAAAAGGAACAUGACCUAUUACCUCCAUGAAGAAGAACCAGAUCAGGUGUGCACUAUUCAAAACAAGAACAUUAUCGGCAAGGUCAUGUUCUUAACAGCAGUUGCGAGGCCACGAUUUGAUGAUCAAGGAAAUGUAACAUUUGAUGGCAAGAUAGGAGUAUGGGCCUUCAUCAAAGAAACUCCAGCAAAAAAGGAUUCCAAGAACAGACUCAAAGGGACUAAGGAACUAAAGUCGGUCACAGUUACUAGGAAUGUGAUGAGGGAAUACCUAUGUGAAAAGGUCAUUCCAGCUAUUGAAGCAUAG
rnacentral:rRNA from 1 species